rnacentral:lncRNA from 1 species
GCCUAUAAAACACCUCGUCCCGUGCCUCCAUCAGGCAUCCAAGCUCAAAGCAAGCAGAUCUAAGCUCCAGGCAGCGUCGCGACAGAGUGAGCUAGUGAGUAGCACGACAACAACAAUGGCUUCCCUGAAGGCCGCGAAGCCCAGCGGAGUUGCGGCGCAGGGCAAGGAGCCGGCGCCCAAGCUCAGCGAGACGGCGACGAAGCCGUCAGCCGCGAAGAGCGGCGGCGUUAAGAAGGCUGAGCAGAAGCCCCGGGAAACCAAAAGGAAGGUGAAGAGCAGCAAACAGGCGGCGGCGGCCAAAAAGUGACGUACAGUACGUGUGGAGUGUAAUGGAGCUUCCAUGCAUGAGUGAAUCCAUGCCAUGUUAUGAAUCUAGUCCUUCCUUUCUUGUAUCUUCCAUGUGACGCGGCGUGUGCGUCCCCUCAUGUGUGAUGAUGCCAGAUGAAUACUACAAAUAAGACGUUGUUGUGACUGUGUGCCAUCGUCGCCUCCUUCAUGCGUCCCUUUGCCGCUUCAUGCUCAAGCAUUAAUAAUGAACUAAUGGUAGUCAUUCUUCCAGCAUAACUACGUGUUCUACGCGUUGUUCAGUUGCAUAUGUAAACAAAAUCUUAGACAUGAACGGAAAACAAACAAAAAAAUAAACCUGGAUCUCGUCCCAUAGGG